UACGGGGGGGGCAAGCGUUGUUCGGAAUUACUGGGCGUAAAGGGCUCGUAGGUGGCCAACUAAGUCAGACGUGAAAUCCCUCGGCUUAACCGGGGAACUGCGUCUGAUACUGGAUGGCUUGAGUUCGGGAGAGGGAUGCGGAAUUCCAGGUGUAGCGGUGAAAUGCGCAGAUAUCAGGAGGAACACCGGUGGCGAAGGCGGGUCUCUGGGCCGAAACUGACGCUGAGGAGCGAAAGCGUGGGGAGCAAACAGG
rnacentral:rRNA from 1 species